CCUCUUGAUUCCAAUCUACGGCGGCAUCGCCCACCGCACGCCACCCAUUCACGCACCCCGCGCGGUGGCUGCCUCAGCUAGAAGCGGUGCCCUCCGCCGCUAGCUCCGCCGGCCGCUGACUUCUGUUCUCCUCCAUCGGCAAUCUCAAUAGUUGGAGCCCCGUCGGCGUCCAUCGUCCUCACACCUCACCGUCGCCAACGACAAUGUGCUCCUCCCCACGUCGUUAUCACCGUCACCAAGACGUAUCCAGGCCAAUUACAUCCUUCACCCGAAGCUCCGCGGCGCGUUCCGUCGCUACACCUCCCCGCAUCUUGCCUCCAUCCAGCAUCGUCAGCCAUCGGCACGUCAGCAGGGUACCGAGACGGCUUCGAAACCUGAACAUCCCAGUGCAGGCUGUUGAUAGUGUACAAGCAGAUGAAGAAAAUUUACAGGCCCUCCAGAAAAUUAAUGAUUUCUUACGAAGAAAGUGAUGGAGAAACUGGAAGAAAGAAAACAAAAGAUAACAAUGGGAGCCUUUCAUGGGAAGAUAAUAGAGAAGUAUUUAAAAGUGUGCAUGGGGAAGAAGUGAAAAACUUCGAGGGUAUUAUGGUGAUAAGUAUUGGAGCGAAAUAAAGUCUCUCAGGGACUGACUUUUGUUCGGCAUUCUUAUAAAGGAGAAAAUGUUCAGUUUGCACUGCGGGCACUAGGUGAUAAUGUAGAAAACAUGACAGAUGAGAUGGUUAUGAUGAGUUCGUUCCUGAAGCAAAAAUUCCCUGGAGAGGAUUGGAGAAAUGACUUUGUAACUGAGGGAAGUGAUGAAGUUGGUAUCUUAGCCACAUCUCUUUCUACAAAGAUAAAAGUAUGAGUAUUAAUAUAUUAUUAUCAUAUUCUUGUUUUAGGUUGAUCUGAAUGGAAGAGUAGUUGGCAGUGACCUCCCACAUGAAUCAGACAACAAAGUUGAAGAAUCACCUGGGAGUUCAACAUUUCUUCUUACACUGGAUUGAAAGCUUAUGUUCUGAAAGUUUCUAUGUUAUCUUUCUUUUUUCAGGGUAGCUAAAGAUUUAGAAAAGGUGUGCACCCCAAGAGCCAGGAGGAACUACAGACAGAAGAUCUAGUCUUUAAGUGAACAAAUAUUAUAGAUUAUGUAUAGAUUUUAGCUUCAUAGGAAAACUUAGUUCUAGUUUUCAGUAUAGUUUCUUAAUUAUUUGCAUCUUUCAUAUGAAUGUAUGAUUUGAUUCAGUUGUGAACUCAAGAUGUUUGUUCCUACUAA